rnacentral:rRNA from 1 species
UUCGGGGGGCACAUCAGCGGCAGACGGGUGAGUAACACGUAGGUAACCUACCCCAGAGACAGGGAUAACCGUAGGAGACGANGGCUAAUACCGGAUGACCUCCGGAAGGAGGAAAGGCUCAGGCGCUCUGGGAGGGGCUUGCGGCCCAUCAGCUAGUUGGUAGGGUAAAGGCCUACCAAGGCGAAGACGGGUAGGGGGUGUGAGAGCACGGCCCCCCACAAUGGGACUGAAACACGGCCCAUACUCCUACGGGAGGCAGCAGGAGGGAAUAUUGCACAAUAGGCGAAAGCCUGAUGCAGCGACGCCGCGUGAGUGAAGAAGGCCUUCGGGUCGUAAAGCUCUUUUGUGGGGGAAGAGGAAGGACGGUACCCUAAGAAGAAGCGUCGGCUAACUACGUGCCAGCAGCCGCGGUAAGACGUAGGACGCGAGCGUUAUCCGGAAUUACUGGGCGUAAAGGGCCAGCAGGCGGCUUGGUAAGUUGUGCGUGAAAGCCUCGUGCUCAACGCGAGGAAGCCGGACAAUACUGUCAAGCUAGAGGGCAUCAGAGGGGAGUGGAAUUCCCGGAGUAGCGGUAAAAUGCGCAGAUAUCGGGAGGAACACCGAUGGCGAAGGCAGCUCCCUGGGAUGCACCUGACGCUAAGAGGCGAAAGCUAGGGGAGCGAACAGGAUUAGAGACCCUGGUAGUCCUAGCUGUAAAUGCUGGGUGCUAAGUGUGGGACG